rnacentral:rRNA from 1 species
UACGGAGGGUGCGAGCGUUGUCCGGAAUUACUGGGCGUAAAGAGCUCGUAGGUGGUUUGUCGCGUUGUUCGUGAAAACUCACAGCUCAGCUGUGGGCGCGCGGGCGAUACGGGCAGACUGGAGUACUGCAGGGGAGACUGGAAUUCCUGGUGUAGCGGUGGAAUGCGCAGAUAUCAGGAGGAACACCGGUGGCGAAGGCGGGUCUCUGGGCAGUAACUGACGCUGAGGAGCGAAAGCGUGGGGAGCGAACAGG